GACGAACGCUGGCGGCGUGCUUAACACAUGCAAGUCGAACGGAAAGGCCCUGCUUUUGUGGCGUGCUCGAGUGGCGAACGGGUGAGUAACACGUGAGUAACCUGCCCUUGACUUUGGGAUAACUUCAGGAAACUGGGGCUAAUACCGGAUAGGAGCUCCUGCUGCAUUGUGUGGGUUGGAAAUCUUCGGCGGUUGGGGAUGGACUCGCGGCUUAUCAGCUUGUUGGUGGGGUAGUGGCUUACCAAGGCUUUGACGGGUAGCCGGCCUGAGAGGGUGACCGGCCACAUUGGGACUGAGAUACGGCCCAGACUCCUACGGGAGGCAGCAGUGGGGAAUAUUGCACAAUGGGCGGAAGCCUGAUGCAGCAACGCCGCGUGCGGGAUGACGGCCUUCGGGUUGUAAACCGCUUUCGCCUGUGACGAAGCGUGAGUGACGGUAAUGGGUAAAGAAGCACCGGCUAACUACGUG
rnacentral:rRNA from 1 species